AGAGUUUGAUCCCGGCUCAGAAUCAACGCUGGCGGCGCGCNNAAAGUGGAGCAAUCCAUGAGUACAGUGGCGUACGGGUGAGUAACACGUGGGUAAUCUACCUCUUAGUGAGGAAUAACCCUGGGAAACCGGGGCUAAUACCGCAUGAGCCUGAGAAGGGAAAGCAGAAAUGCGCUGAGAGAGGAGCCCGCGGCCGAUUAGCUAGUUGGUGGGGUAAGAGCCCACCAAGGCAGAGAUCGGUAGCCGGCCUGAGAGGGCACACGGCCACACUGGCACUGAAACACGGGCCAGACUCCUACGGGAGGCAGCAGUGGGGAAUCUUGCACAAUGGGGGAAACCCUGAUGCAGCGACGCCGCGUGAGCGAUGAAGCCCUUCGGGGUGUAAAGCUCUUUCGUCAGGGAAGAUAGUGACGGUACCUGGAGAAGCAGCUGCGGCUAACUACGUGCCAGCAGCCGCGGUAAUACGUAGGCAGCAAGCGUUGUUCGGAGUUACUGGGCGUAAAGGGUGUGUAGGCGGUUUUUUAAGUUUGGUGUGAAAUCUCCCGGCUUAACCGGGAGGGUGCGCCGAAUACUGAGGGACUAGAGUACGGGAGAGGAAAGUGGAAUUCCUGGUGUAGCGGUGAAAUGCGUAGAUAUCAGGAGGAACACCGGUGGUGUAGACGGCUUUCUGGACCGUAACUGACGCUGAAACACGAAAGCGUGGGUAGCAAACAGGAUUAGAUACCCUGGUAGUCCACGCCCUAAACGAUGCAUAUUUGGUGUGGGCAGUUCAUUCUGUCCGUGCCGGAGCUAACGCGUUAAAUAUGCCGCCUGGGGAGUACAGUCGCAAGGCUGAAACUCAAAGGAAUUGACGGGGGCCCGCACAAGCGGUGGAGCAUGUGGUUUAAUUCGACGCAACGCGAAGAACCUUACCUGGGCUCGAA
rnacentral:rRNA from 1 species